UGCCUCUCGCCAAAGAACCAGUUGAGCUCUGC
rnacentral:piRNA from 1 species